AACGAACGCUGGCGGCAUGCCUAACACAUGCAAGUCGAACGAGACCUUCGGGUCUAGUGGCGCACGGGUGCGUAACGCGUGGGAACCUGCCCUUAGGUUCGGAAUAACUCCCCGAAAGGGGUGCUAAUACCGGAUAAUGUCUUCGGACCAAAGAUUUAUCGCCUUUGGAUGGGCCCGCGUUGGAUUAGCUAGUUGGUAGGGUAAAAGCCUACCAAGGCGACGAUCCAUAGCUGGUCUGAGAGGAUGAUCAGCCACACUGGGACUGAGACACGGCCCAGACUCCUACGGGAGGCAGCAGUGGGGAAUAUGGGACAAUGGGCGAAAGCCUGAUCCAGCAAUGCCGCGUGAGUGAUGAAGGCCUUAGGGUUGUAAAGCUCUUUUAACCGGGAUGAUAAUGACAGUACCGGGAGAAUAAGCGCCGGCUAACUCCGUG
rnacentral:rRNA from 1 species